rnacentral:tRNA from 1 species
AGGGGUGUAGUUCAAUGGCAUAACAGCGGGCUCCAAAACCGUCAAUGUGGGUUCGAUUCCUGCCACCCCUG